rnacentral:rRNA from 1 species
UAAUACGGAGGGUGCGAGCGUUAAUCGGAAUUACUGGGCGUAAAGGGUGCGUAGGUGGUUGUAUAAGUUAUCUGUGAAAUUCCUGGGCUUAACCUGGGGUGGUCAGAUAAGACUGUAUGACUCGAGUAUGGGAGAGGGUAGUGGAAUUUCCGGUGUAGCGGUGAAAUGCGUAGAGAUCGGAAGGAACACCAGUGGCGAAGGCGGCUACCUGGCCUAAUACUGACACUGAGGCACGAAAGCGUGGGGAGCAAACAGG